UACAGAGGAUGCAAGCGUUAUCCGGAAUUAUUGGGCGUAAAGCGUCUGUAGGUGGCCUUUUAAGUCCGCCGUCAAAUCCCAGGGCUCAACUCUGGACAGGCGGUGGAAACUACCAAGCUGGAGUACGGUAGGGGCAGAGGGAAUUUCCGGUGGAGCGGUGAAAUGCGUAGAGAUCGGAAAGAACACCAACGGCGAAAGCAGUCUGCUGGGCCGACACUGACACUGAGAGACGAAAGCUAGGGGAGCGAAUGGG
rnacentral:rRNA from 1 species